rnacentral:rRNA from 1 species
UACGUAGGGUGCAAGCGUUAAUCGGAAUUACUGGGCGUAAAGCGUGCGCAGGCGGUUUUGUAAGACUGUCGUGAAAUCCCCGGGCCUAACCUGGGAAUGGCGAUGGUGACUGCAAGGCUAGAGUUUGGCAGAGGGGGGUAGAAUUCCACGUGUAGCAGUGAAAUGCGUAGAUAUGUGGAGGAACACCGAUGGCGAAGGCAGCCCCCUGGGUCAAAACUGACGCUCAUGCACGAAAGCGUGGGGAGCAAACAGG